rnacentral:misc_RNA from 1 species
UCCGGUUUGGCACCGGCAGUCCUCCCAGAGUCCUCGGCUUUACCCGGUAGCAACUGGGAGCGGGGGUUGCGCUCGUUACGGGACUUAACCCAACAUCUCACGACACGAGCUGACGACAGCCAUGCAGCACCUGUGCUGGUGUUCCGAAGAGAAGCCUGCGUUUCUGCAGACCGUCCCAUACAUGUCAAGCCUAGGUAAGGUUCUUCGCGUUGCGUCGAAUUAAACCACAUGCUCCACCGCUUGUGCGGGUCCCCGUCAAUUCCUUUGAGUUUUAAUCUUGCGACCGUACUCCCCAGGCGGUCGACUUCACGCGUUAGCUGCGUUACCGAAGGAGUUACCCUCCGACAACUAGUCGACAUCGUUUAGGGCGUGGACUAC